UCCCAGGUGGUCUAGUGGUUAAGACUUGGCACUUUCACUGUCGGGGCACAGGUUCAAUCCCUGGUCAGGGAA
rnacentral:tRNA from 1 species